AAGUUUGAGCAGUGGUAGUAUUGUAGCCAAUGAGGUUUAUCUGAGGUACAGUUAUUGCUAAUUGAAAAGUAAAUCAAACUAUAC
ensembl:snRNA Gm24256 predicted gene, 24256